CCCCCUUCCACGCCCCUCUUUGAUAACACUAUUCACUUUUACACACAGCUCGCUGUUUGCCUCUCGCUCUAUGCUGUGCGCGUCUCAAUUGAAACAACAAAAAUCAUAAUUGUAAAAUAUAUAUAUAUGUAU